CUGGAUAUGGUCAAUGGCAUACUCGCCAGUGGAACCAGUUCUUGCAGUCUGUUGUGAUUUUGAAUGCCUGUUUUGUUUUCUUCUUCUGAAAAUGCUAUUGAAAGUUUCCAAGAAAUUGCAAGUGAGGCGCCUUUAAAAUUACUUCUUAUGAUCUCAACAUAAGGAAAGACAGAGUUGUUUGGUUUACAUCUAGAAUAGAAAGUAUUCUCUGGUUCAU